GCCCCCGUAGCCCAAUGGCAGAGGCAGUCUCCUUAAAAGGGACCAUUUGUCGGUUCGACUCCGACCGGGGGUACCC
rnacentral:tRNA from 1 species